rnacentral:tRNA from 19 species
GGCUAUUAGCUCAGUGGUAGAGCGCGCCCCUGAUAAGGGCGAGGUCUCUGGUUCAAGUCCAGGAUGGCCCAG